UGCAGUCGAGCGGGGGAAGGUAGCUUGCUACUGGACCUAGCGGCGGACGGGUGAGUAAUGCUUAGGAAUCUGCCUAUUAGUGGGGGACAACAUCUCGAAAGGGAUGCUAAUACCGCAUACGUCCUACGGGAGAAAGCAGGGGAUCUUCGGACCUUGCGCUAAUAGAUGAACCUAAGUCGGAUUAACUAGUUGGUGGGGUAAAGGCCUACCAAGGCGACGAUCUGUACCGGGUCUGAGAGGAUGAUCCGCCACACUGGGACUGAGACACGGCCCAGACUCCUACGGGAGGCAGCAGUGGGGAAUAUUGGACAAUGGGGGGAACCCUGAUCCAGCCAUGCCGCGUGUGUGAAGAAGGCCUUAUGGUUGUAAAGCACUUUAAGCGAGGAGGAGGCUACUCUAGUUAAUACCUAGGGAUAGUGGACGUUACUCGCAGAAUAAGCACCGGCUAACUCUGUGCCAGCAGCCGCGGUAAUACAGAGGGUGCGAGCGUUAAUCGGAUUUACUGGGCGUAAAGCGUGCGUAGGCGGCUUAUUAAGUCGGAUGUGAAAUCCCCGAGCUUAACUUGGGAAUUGCAUUCGAUACUGGUGAGCUAUAGUAUGGGAGAGGAUGGUAGAAUUCCAGGUGUAGCGGUGAAAUGCGUAGAGAUCUGGAGGAAUACCGAUGGCGAAGGCAGCCAUCUGGGCCUAAUACUGACGCUGAGGUACGAAAGCAUGGGGGAG
rnacentral:rRNA from 1 species